UCCAAAUUGGAUAUUUCAUAAACCACAGAAGGAAGAACAGACGUUCUUUACUUUUCCUUCCUAGAUCCUGAUAAUACAGAAAACUGUAACCGGGCCACAGGUCUGAGGUCUGGGACUUCCUGCCUGAUUUCGCUCUUCUGGAAAUACAACGCUGCAUGAAAGAGGCAAAGACCAUAUUUACCUGCUUUACAGUGAGGGAUGCAGUCAAUACAUAAUUUUUGGCAAAGAGGAAUGAAAUCUGAAACUGGCAGCUAAUGACCUAUGGGACAAGAUGCAGAGGCUGUUUGAAUUUACUGUUCCUGUCAUCAUUACUAAGGCCAUGGGCCUUCAGACUUGGACUGAAAUCUACACCACUGGAUCUCCAGCUCUCAGGCCUUUUAACUACACCAUUGGCCUUCCUGGGUCUCCACCUUGGUCAUGGGACUUCUCAUCCUCCAUUGUAUGAGCCAAUACCUUAUAUGUACUCCAUGUCUCACUGAUGCUGGAAAACUUUCUCACUUCAUGAAGAGAACAGAAGGUAUGGCAGAUUCAUUCAUUGCUAAUCAAAUUGAGCCUUUUGAUGUUUCACUUCCUCCUCUAAGACGAAGUUAGAGGUGCCAGGAAUAUGGAGUUGUGACUUGUGAAUCUUCUUGAUGAUUCACAUGUACACAGGAGACCAAAAAACACUCAAGACCCAUAUAGAAGUAGGUGACAGAUACUGAACUGCAGUGUAUCCAAGGGUGCAGGAUUUUUAAACCUUGUUUUUCUUUUAUUUAUAGUUGGGACUUUAAGAUGGAUCAAUAUACAUGACAUACAAAAAUAAAUUCUAUUGUAGUUAGAGACGGUAACUCUCUGUGCAAGAAACUCCAGCAUUUUCCAGAAGUUUGCAUGCUUGUU